GUGGGGAAUAUUGCACAAUGGGGGAAACCCUGAUGCAGCGACGCCGCGUGGAGGAAGAAGGUCUUCGGAUUGUAAACUCCUGUUGUUGAGGAAGAUAAUGACGGUACUCAACAAGGAAGUGACGGCUAACUACGUGCCAGCAGCCGCGGUAAAACGUAGGUCACAAGCGUUGUCCGGAAUUACUGGGUGUAAAGGGAGCGCAGGCGGGAAGACAAGUUGGAAGUGAAAUCCAUGGGCUCAACCCAUGAACUGCUUUCAAAACUGUUUUUCUUGAGUAGUGGAAAGGUAGGCGGAAUUCCCGGUGUAGCGGUGGAAUGCGUAGAUAUCGGGAGGAACACCAGUGGCGAAGGCGGCCUACUGGGCACCAACUGACGCUGAGGCUCGAAAGUGUGGGUAGCAAACAGGAUUAGAUACCCUAGUAGUCC
rnacentral:rRNA from 1 species